CGUUGACUACGUCCCUGCCCUUUGUACACACCGCCCGUCGCUACUACCGAUUGAAUGGCUCAGUGAGGCGUCCGGACUGGCCCAGAGAGGUGGGCAACUACCCCUCAGGGCCGGAAAGCUCUCCAAACUCGGUCAUUUAGAGGAAGUAAAAGUCGUAACAAGG
rnacentral:rRNA from 1 species